GUAGGGAAUAUUGGACAAUGGGGGGAACCCUGAUCCAGCCAUGCCGCGUGGAGGAAGACUGCCCUCUGGGUUGUAAACUCCUUUUAUAUGGGAAGAACCGUCCUCAUUAAUGAGUGACCUGACGGUACCAUAGGAAUAAGCACCGGCUAACUCCGUGCCAGCAGCCGCGGUAAUACGGAGGGUGCAAGCGUUAUCCGGAUUCACUGGGUUUAAAGGGUGCGUAGGCGGAUAAAUAAGUCAGUGGUUAAAUCAACGGGCUCAACCUGUUAACUGCCAUUGAUACUGUGUAUCUUGAAUAUGAGAGAGGUAGGCGGAAUGUUGCAUGUAGCGGUGAAAUGCUUAGAUAUGCUACGGAACACCGAUUGCGAAGGCAGCUUACUAUUUCGUAAUUGACGCUGAGGCACGAAAGCGUGGGUAGCGAACAGGAUUAGAUACCCUAGUAGUCC
rnacentral:rRNA from 1 species